AGGCACUCGACACACUGCAAAAAGUCGCUUUUGCCCUCCACUCGCUGAUGUCAUCCUUCCUACUCUUUUUUUUGGGUUUCGAUAUCUCUCUUUCUCUUUUCCCCCAUCCUCUUCAACUUUCUCAAUAGUUACAAACCAAAAAUUCCGGUGACCAACACCAACGGCGUAGGAGUCAUCGACUUGGAGAAUAUAUAUAGCAGCUUUAGCGGUUUGAUAAACCAGCGUCCAAGCCACAUCGACACACGAUUGGUAGCGAUUCAGGAAUUGCGAUAUGGGUUAUGAAGACUAGAGAUUAAGUCAAUAAACCGCUCGAAAGAGGUUGUAGAAGAUGAGGAUGAUGACUCUAAUGCAGAAUCCACUGAGGUUUGUACUUAUCAAAUCAAAGAAAGAUGAGGCUUGUUUCUUCAGACUCUAGCCAAUCUUAGAUGCGGUUAAGAUGUGUUUGGAUACAGAGGAAACAUCUACGAUUCAGAGCUUGUCCUAAGGAAGGAGCCAUUCGCAUGAUGUUAACUAUGGCAGAGGCCGUGGGAAGGUGCUUGCUUAGGAACUUGACAAUGAAGAAAUAGAGAGGAAGCUGAUUAGUGUUUUGAAAGAGAUGGUGAGAUUGCUAAGUACUUGAAACCCAUGUUUGGGUUCCUUAUUUACGAUCGAUAAGGGUUUAGUUUUUUUUUCUUUCAAUUUUUUUAAUGUAUAAUCUACUGUAUAUUGAUCGGUUUGGGUUUAUACGUCUUUGAUUAGGAUUCUCUAUUUACUAUCUAUUAGGGUUUAGUAUUCCCUUUUUUAAUCUUUUUUAUAUUAGGUUCACCUUACAUUAAUGGUUUGAGUUCAUAUGAUGUAAUUUUUUAAUUUUAUUAAAAUUUAUUGUCAUGAUAUUGGUAUUUGUUGCUAA